CUUAUGCUGCCACGCAACUGCAACGCCCGAAUUCCGCCAGGCCCGGGAGGGAGCAACGGUAGGGUCCCCUGCAGUGUGUGUGGCGGCACUUCUUA
rnacentral:SRP_RNA from 1 species